CUCAAUAAGGAACCAUUUUUGGUAUUGUUCAAAAACAUGUGCUAAUGACUCAAAAAAUCUCAAAGAUAAGUGGAUUGGUAUUUUACACCAUGUUGUUGAUGAGCAUGAGUGGGUGUUGGAGGAAGGUGUAAAUGGUGGAAAAUGUGAACAUGAUCCUCUUAAUGAAAGUGAGAGAAAGAAGCCAUGGCUUAAGAAAGAGUCUUCUGCCCAUAAAGCACUGGCAAAGAUCAUUCUGGACACUCGCUUUUUAAACACUUUGGUGUAUUAUGUUAACUUCAGAAACCAGCUUGCUGCCUUGGACUUUAACCACCACAGAGGCCGAGCACCAGCAACUACAGCUGAUGGGAAAGAAAGGUACGGUCGGAAGUUCAGUAAGCGUACACAACAGUGGUGCCGUGUUCGUGUUCUUGUACCAAAGAAUUUAGUUACAU